rnacentral:rRNA from 1 species
GAUGAACGCUGGCGGCGUGCCUAAUACAUGCAAGUCGAGCGAACGGACGAGAAGCUUGCUUCUCUGAUGUUAGCGGCGGACGGGUGAAUAACGCGUGGAUAACCUACCUAUAAGACUGGGAUAACUUCGGGAAACCGGAGCUAAUACCGGAUUAUAUUUUGAACCGCAUGGUUCAAAAGUGAAAGACGGUCUUGCUGUCACUUAUAGAUGGAUCCGCGCUGCAUUAGCUAGUUGGUAAGGUAACGGCUUACCAAGGCAACGAUGCAUAGCCGACCUGAGAGGGUGAUCGGCCACACUGGAACUGAGACACGGUCCAGACUCCUACGGGAGGCAGCAGUAGGGAAUCUUCCGCAAUGGGCGAAAGCCUGACGGAGCAACGCCGCGUGAGUGAUGAAGGUCUUCGGAUCGUAAAACUCUGUUAUUAGGGAAGAACAUAUGUGUAAGUAACUGUGCACAUCUUGACGGUACCUAAUCAGAAAGCCACGGCUAACUACGUGCCAGCAGCCGCGGUAAUACGUAGGUGGCAAGCGUUAUCCGGAAUUAUUGGGCGUAAAGCGCGCGUAGGGCGGUUUUUUAGUCUGAUGUGAAAGCCCACGGCUCAACCGUGGAGGGUCAUUGGAAACUGGAAAACUUGAGUGCAGAAGAGGAAAGUGGAAUUCCAUGUGUAGCGGUGAAAUGCGCAGAGAUAUGGAGGAACACCAGUGGCGAAGGCGACUUUCUGGUCUGUAACUGACGCUGAUGUGCGAAAGCGUGGGGAUCAAACAGGAUUAGAUACCCUGGUAGUCCACGCCGUAAACGAUGAGUGCUAAGUGUUAGGGGGUUUCCGCCCCUUAGUGCUGCAGCUAACGCAUUAAGCACUCCGCCUGGGGAGUACGACCGCAAGGUUGGAACUCAAAGGAAUUGACGGGGACCCGCACAAGCGGUGGAGCAUGUGGUUUAAUUCGAAGCAACGCGAAGAACCUUACCAAAUCUUGACAUCCUUUGACAACUCUAGAGAUAGAGCCUUCCCCUUCGGGGGACAAAGUGACAGGUGGUGCAUGGUUGUCGUCAGCUCGUGUCGUGAGAUGUUGGGUUAAGUCCCGCAACGAGCGCAACCCUUAAGCUUAGUUGCCAUCAUUAAGUUGGGCACUCUAAGUUGACUGCCGGUGACAAACCGGAGGAAGGUGGGGAUGACGUCAAAUCAUCAUGCCCCUUAUGAUUUGGGCUACACACGUGCUACAAUGGACAAUACAAAGGGCAGCGAAACCGCGAGGUCAAGCAAAUCCCAUAAAGUUGUUCUCAGUUCGGAUUGUAGUCUGCAACUCGACUACAUGAAGCUGGAAUCGCUAGUAAUCGUAGAUCAGCAUGCUACGGUGAAUACGUUCCCGGGUCU